GGUAGUAUGGGUGAAACAGGAUGUAAGAUACACAGUAUGUGAUAAGAAUAGUUUGCAACAAAUAACAUUGUUCAUGUGUUCCUUGUUAAUAUAUUCAAAAAGUGUUCAAUUUACUCGAUAAACGACACGAUUCUUGAGAUAAGGUUUUUACUAGCACGCUCUCGUCAGCAGCAUUGCGAUUGAUGAAGUCGAUUUGAAGGUUAGCUCGAUACGUGACGUGACGUCGUAAAGCAGCAGCACAAGAAAGCUGGUGUGUAUAUACGGUGGAACGUAAAGGGCUGACGUUCGUGGACGAACGAAAGCGUGCAAUGAAACUGGCCGCCUACUCUCUUCGUAAGUAACGCGAAAUGUGCCGUAAAACUGGCGAAAUGACGAAAACACGGCAACCAAUUCGACUAGCAACGAUUCCUUACAAUCGCUUCUACACUUUUUUGCAUUAGCCCUGAUUUAUGCUAAAUUACCUAAUUUGUAAUAUUUCGGGGCAUUAUUCAGACUUCAUUUUAUUGUAAUAGACUUUGUGGUACGUCCGAUUUCUUAUUUACAAUACGAUUCGAUUACUUUGUCUAAUUUUUAAAAGUCCUAACCUUAGAUGAUCUCAACUUUCUUCUUUAGUUAUUUGUUCUUAUUUUCCCGAUUUUUCAAGAUUUGUUCAUAUCUACGGUUUCAUUACUUUUCUAUGACUUAAAUCGCAACGAAAUUUUCACUAGAUACAUUGCGUUGACAACUAAGCGAUUGCUAAGUGAAGCAUUACCACCUAAUGACAAAAUCCGCAAUCACUUUGUUGCCAACUUAAUAGAACCCAUGACAAUUCUGUGAGAUGAGGUAAUUAUCAAAAGAUCAUAUAUACAUAUGUAUUCUGUUGUUAAAGAAGAUUCCUGUAGUAUAAAAUAGUGAUUCUAGAGAAAUUCCAAUAGUUCCAUCUAUUUCUGUUUCUUAUGAAAUAAGUUGUAAAGAAAUUCUUACCGUUGAAUCUAUGUCGCUUUUAUAACCUGAGGUUAUCUAGAAAAUUAUAUUCUGUUACCAAACAAGUUCCUUUUAAUAAAAAGCGGUGAUUGCAGAAAAAUUCCAAUAAUUCUACCUAUUCAAGCAUCCUCUGUUAUUAGAGGAGGAAAAAAGUGAAUACAUAUACAUACAUGACGAGGUAACGUGUUAGUUUCUAAAACCAGCACGAAUGCAGGGAAUUACUACUGUCUCGUGCAGGGGCUUGCUUAUUUGUUCCGUCGUUUUUUCCUCCAGCGUGUUGGCCAAUCCUGCUAUUGAUUACAAGAGAGAAGAAAUCGAGUGGUGUAUGAUAAAUCGGGAGAGCUGACAGCCCUGUGACGCUUGUUUCUUCUCUCUUUCUCCCUUUUCUGUUGGCCUUUUUCUCCUGCUUUUCUCAUGAAGAAGGGUGGUGGUCCACACCGGGCGUCCCCAUAGAGAUUCCAUGGACCCCCGGAACGCAUUAUGGAAGCAUCGAGGGAAAAAGCACAGCUAUUGUGCUCUGUUGGCCAACCAAAAAACUUCACCAACCAAAAUCUCUUGAAACCCCCUCCCCCCCAUUCUGCUCCGCCCAUCUCGUUAUUUUGGUUGAGAAGCUGCCUCUCCUCUGGAAUUGCGUUACAUCCGUUGGAUAUAUUUGACGAACGCAGAUUGAUAGAUUGUGGGACAAAUUUUUCUUAUCAAUUGCUGAGUAUAGAAUCACAUUUCCUGUGUUUUUCCAAAGACAACAUAAUGCAGAUAUACACCAGAAAGAGUUUCACUAAAAACAAAUCCAUUUGUCGUUGAAUUAAUUAUACAGGGUGUCAAGUAACAUAUCGAACAUUCUUGCAAGGAUCCUGCUUUUCCUUCACACGUUUCACAAAAAAAGCUGGGACUGAAAGAAUGUCAAGUGGAACUCAACAAAGGAGCUUCUGAGCUACUUUACAUAAAAACACAAUGUGCUUGAAAAUACCAGUCGCUGGAGAGAAUUCAGUAAAAUAAGUAGAAAGAUAAAAAGAUAUGUAAUGUUUUUCGAAUGGUAUCAGGUGGGAUAACGUUGUAUCGAUAACGUCGAUGGUAGUCACGGUUCCUUAAUCUAAAACCUUUGGCCGGAGAUCGUUAGAUUCUAUUGCCGCGUGGAAAUCGCGGAUAAGGAACGCGGGACCGGAAGCUCGUGGCGGCGAAGGGUAAAGGGGCGAGCGCGGCGAGGGCAGCUCAACGUUUCGUUUGCAUGUCCCGGUGUAAUAAGCGUCACCCCCAGUGACUUCUCGGCUGGCGUUAUUAAUUCGAUUAUAAUGAGCUAUUAAGCGAAACGCUGGUAAUCCUGACAAGCUCCAUUCAACGGGCUAGGCUUAGCUGCUCGAACCCAGCGAUUGCCUGCAACCCUGUUCGCUGUUAAGCAAAUUAUCAGAGAGGGGAACGCCUCGAGCCUCCUACUACCUUCUUAUCGCAUUUUUACGACACCUUGAUUUCAAUUUUUAAAUCGUUUCCGCAAUGUCUCCGUUCAGGGUAAAGUAAUUCCUCGAAGACGGAUUUAGGAUGUUAAGGAUGGCUGACAGGAUCGUUUUUCUGCAUAAUAAAUAAUUGAAAGACUUUUUUCGUGAAUUGAGUAAAUUGCGUUUGAAGUAUUAAUUAAUCCGCGUUUUUAAUAUUAGAUACCUUUCAAUUGAUAAGUGUAAUAAUUCUUAAAGAUGUUCUUUUUAUGUUUAUAAAAUGAAUACAAAUUUGUAUAAUAAUUCAACUAUUACAUUAUUAGAAAAUGUAUAUAUCUAAGUUGUAUUUGAAAUAUUAAUUAUUCUGGGUUUUUAAUAUUAGAUACUUUUCAAUUGAUAAGUGUAAUGACUCUUAAAGAUGUUCUUUUUAUGUCUAUAAAAUGAAUACAAAUUUGUAUAAUAAUUCAACUAUUACAUUAUUAGAAAAUGUAUAUAUCUAAGUUGUGUUUGAAAUAUUAAUUAAUCUGGGAUUUUAAUGUUAGAUACCUUUCAAUUGAUAAGUGUAAUGACUCUUAAAGAUGUUCUCUUCAUAUUUAUAAAAUGAAUACAAAUUUGUAUAAUAAUUUAACUAUUUGAUUAGAAAAUAUAUAUAUCUAUGUAGCUAUUUAUUGAAAUUUAUAUAAGUAGGACUUUUUCUUAGAUAAUUUCUCAAUUAUAAGAGUAUAAAGUAUUUCGUUACUAGGCAUUGGAAUUUAUUAUUUGUUACAAUAAAGAAAAUAUUAUAUUAAUGUAUAUAGCAGGGAAAAUUGAUGCUGAGUAUAUAUUGUUGUUUAACACUUUGACUGCCACGUCCAAAUCACAUGUUUCGCUGAGGACGCCACGGGAAUAUUUUUAUUUAAAGCAUAUAAUGGCAAAAUAAUAAUAAAUUGAUGAUGUAAGACAACGUUCUUCCCC